CGGGGGGCAGCAGUGGGGAAUUUUGGACAAUGGGCGCAAGCCUGAUCCAGCAAUGCCGCGUGCAGGAUGAAGGCCUUCGGGUUGUAAACUGCUUUUGUACGGAGCGAAACGGCUUCCCCUAAUACGGGGAGCUAAUGACGGUACCGUAAGAAUAAGCACCGGCUAACUACGUGCCAGCAGCCGCGGUAAUACGUAGGGUGCGAGCGUUAAUCGGAAUUACUGGGCGUAAAGCGUGCGCAGGCGGUUAUAUAAGACAGAUGUGAAAUCCCCGGGCUCAACCUGGGACCUGCAUUUGUGACUGUAUAGCUAGAGUACGGUAGAGGGGGAUGGAAUUCCGCGUGUAGCAGUGAAAUGCGUAGAUAUGCGGAGGAACACCGAUGGCGAAGGCAAUCCCCUGGACCUGUACUGACGCUCAUGCACGAAAGCGUGGGGAGCAAACAGGAUUAGAUACCCCAGU
rnacentral:rRNA from 1 species